rnacentral:rRNA from 1 species
UACGGAGGGUGCAAGCGUUAUCCGGAUUUACUGGGUUAAAGGGUGCGUAGGUGGGUAGGUAAGUCAGUGGUGAAAUCUUCGAGCUUAACUCGGAAACUGCCAUUGAUACUAUUUAUCUUGAAUACUUUGGAGGUAAGCGGAAUAUGUCAUGUAGCGGUGAAAUGCUUAGAUAUGACAUAGAACACCAAUUGCGAAGGCAGCUGACUACAGGGAUAUUGACACUGAGGCACGAAAGCGUGGGGAUCAAACAGG